AGAUCACAUGCAUGUGGCUUCUCGUCAGUGUGGAUUUUCUUGUGUCUGGCAAGGUAUGCUUUUUGACUGAAAGUCUUCUCGCAGAGAUCACAAGCGUGUGGCUUCUCGUCAGUGUGGAUUUUCUUGUGUGUGGCAAGGUUUGCUUUUUGACUGAAAGUCUUCUCGCAGAGAUCACAUGCGUACGGCUUCAUUCCACUUUCACAUUUUAUGUGAAGAUUAAGACUUUCUUUGGAUGUGAAAAUCUCUUUACACUGAGGGCAAAUGAAACAUAUUUCAGGUCUUGGUCUCAAGGAGGUUUCAUCAGUUUCGAUGUCAUGAUGUUUCUUCCCC